CAAUCAGUAGCUUUUCUAUUCAGCGUCUUCAUUCACGCUUCAAUAAGCGGCUUUUUGUGAAAUUAGUCUUCACUAAAUGAGCGUUAUUCAGAAAUAAAACAUUCGCAAAUGGUGUGAAAGUCCUGACAACAUGUUGAGGAGAUUAUUGCAGUUUUUUGACAAGUUUCAACCGCAGCAGGAGCGUAAACACAGUGCGUCAAUGGGUCAGAUAGCAUUAGCGGCUACUUUAGCUUGUCAGUUAGCCUGUGUUUCAGGUCCUACACUGUGAGAGAGAGAGAGAGUUCGCCGUAAUUUAUUUAGAUAUAUAUUUUAAUUUUUUUAUUUACUGAUAUAUCUGUAUCUCUGCUGCUUAAAUCUGCCUGUGCCAAAAUGGACUAUCCUCCAAGCAAGCGACAUAGAGGAUUGCACAAUGAAGAUCCAGCUGGAACUGAUACCUUUGGGGACGAUGAAGACUUUACGCAAGAUGACUUGGAGGAAAUUGACAUCAUUGCAUCACAGGCCAUUACGAGAGACGCUCAAGCCACAAGCAGCAAGAGAAGUUUUGUAUCCAAUUCUACUGAUCCAGAGCAGAACAAAGCACCGAAAAGAGAGGGCAGGAAAACCUUCUCUAUUGGAAACAACCAUCCUAGCAGUAACAUGUAUAACAACAAGGAACCUAAAAGAAAUGAUACCGCUGGAAAUGGACAAGACAGGGAUGAAGUACAUUACAGCUGCCUGGAAGCACAGCAAGCGGAGUUGAAGAGGAAGCUGAAGGAGGUGGAGGAGCAGAUCCUGAUGAAGAAUGGUGAAAUCCAGGUUCUGCGAGACUCCCUCAGAUUGGCCAAUCAGGAGAAGGAGCAGCAGAGACAGGCUCAUCUCCUGCUGGAGAGAGACAGGGCUCAUAUCCAGAGUGAAAAAGAGAAGGAGCUUUCUAAGAAGGUAGAGUCCUUAAAGUCUGAGUUGCACUUUAAGGAAGCUGAAAUGAAUGAAAUGAGGAGUAAAUUGCAGAGCUCUGAGCGUGGUGCGAAGGUUGUUGGCACUCCUGUAAGAAACAGUGUGAACUCUCCUGGAAGUCGUGCGUUUGUGACAAAGGAGUCCUUCUCAGCCGAGCUGCCUGUAAAACCAUCAGCAGGCAAAAGCCAGCAUACAGAGGGUGGGAAACAAAACCAAGGAAAAAGUGAUGAUGAGCAGAUGAGCUCAGACGCAGCCCAGGAUACAAACAGGAUUCAGUACAAAGGACCUGCGUUAUUGAAUCUGCUGCUUCAGCACCCUUUGGAACCGAGCUCUUUAGGGCUUUGUCACUUACUGUGCAUCAGUCCAGAUGCUCUACCUGCCAUAUUCACCCAAUUGGACUACACUAGUCCCAGAUCUUCAGUCAGUUCCACCACGACCGCCACAGACAUCCGGCUGCUCCAUCAGCCUCGAGUGCAUUUCUAUCAACAUCAGAGUCUGGCCAUGUCAGGACUGGCCAUGCUAACACACUGUGCUUCCACUCAGCUCUUCAGAAGGUCCUGUCCUCCUGCUGUCCACCUCCUUCCGUUACUUCACUAUCACAUCAGCCUUUAUUGCCAGACCCUUGAGACCAUUGACCGGUCAGGAAAGGGUCCCCUUAAAGCAAGUGCCCUAUCAGGAGCAUCAGACAGCAGCUCUGAUUCCACACUUGAGGAGUCUUUAGUUGCUCAAGAAGAGUUUGCCUUGGCAGCUAUAAAAGCUCUUUAUUACAUUGUGUGUGAAAGUAUUGAAGCUGUAAACUCCGUUCUGGGCGGUCAAGAGGGAAAGGAUUCAGAAAAGCCCAGUGAAAACCGACUCCGUCAGCCUCGGACUACAGGUCAUAGUAGCACUGCAGAGAACGCCUGUGAUGAGCUGCAAUCCCACGAUCCUCUGCUCAAGAAGCUUUUCCAGUUAGUGGAUUUGAAGUUUGUCAGUAACGCAAGUCAGAGAGAAGCUGUGGUGAAUUGUAGUCUCGGGACUCUGUGUGCACUGGCUGAGAGAGCCGAGGAGAGCCAACUGUGGAGAUUUCAGGUGGUAUUGGCAAGUCAGGCUGUGUCCCAAAACCUGUCUUUGGAAUCACCAUACAGCACUGUUUGGCUCUUUGUGAGAUUUCUGGCAUUUCUGGUGGAUUGUGACAAAAUAGCAAACAAGCUUUGCUCUCAUAUCUAUGCAUGUCCAUUUGUACGACUUUUCCAGUAUGUGACCUCCAGAUCAAAUAAAGUAAUUCCUGAAGACAUGUGGUCGCGUUUGGAAGUUGAGGUUGUCCGAUUGUUAGCCAAGCUGUUCACACAGAAGACGUGUAUGUGGGCUGCUCUCAGCGCUGAAUCUACCUGCUCAUGCAGCAGUGAGGUAAAAAGCACAAGAAGGCCACUUUAGUUAGUGAGUUCUUCCUGGUUAUCCACUGACGUUAGAUGACUGUCCUCUUUCUAUCUAGCAGAAGUUUAAAAAACAUUGUGACCUGUUUGUUUAAAAAUCAGCCUUUUUGUCAUUAGUUGUUUGUAAAAGCCUAAAAUCAGUCUUUGAAAUGAGCCUGUGCCCAUUGUAGCCGAGGUUCACGGUGUUGUGUGUUCUGAGAUGCUUUUCUGCUCACCACGGUUGUAAAGAGUUACUGUAGGUUUCCCAUCAGCUCCACCAGUCUAGCCAUUCUCUUCUGACUUCUCUUCUGCCCACAUAACUGCUGCUUGCUGGAAGGUGGAUUUUUUUUGCACCAUUCUGCGUAAACCCUGAGAACCCCAUGAGAUCAGCAGUUUCUGAAAUACUCAGAACAGCCUGUCUGCUUCCAGCAACCAUGCCACAGUCAAAGUCAAUGAGAUCACGUUUUCCCCCAUUCUGAUGUUUGCAUAUCUGCAAACUAGUCGCUUUUCGGUGAAAUUCGCCGUUUUGCAAACAAAAUGUCGUUCUUGUGAUUCAUCUAGAUCCGAAGAGUUUUUUUUUGGGGGGGGGUGGUCAGCGGUGGAUGGGACUUUCAGUAAAAUGGGAUUGCCAUCUUCACAAGAGUCAUUUGGCCAAUCACACGCUACUCAUUUGGCCAAUCACAAACAUCCAAGUCAAUCCAUCUUUCCCACAGCGAACUAAACCUUUGCCUGACUAAACCAUAGACAGUAAACAUACGACUUGCGUCAGAGACUUCAGAGAUCUGUGGACACUAGCGACAGACUUGAGGCUGAAUAUUCACUUCCUUUCACCUUUGCACCAGUGAUGGUGAACCUGGCCCAAGGGCUGGCUGAAGACAAAGUAGCCCUUAGUGGGCUGAAGCUAUGUCGCCCGAAAGAGACACAUGGCAAAGCAGAGGAAACUGGCCAUGGAACGGCUUGUCCAGGCCAAAAAAAUGAAGAAAUGAGAUUUACUAUUAGUAAAUUACUCAGCUUGACAUUGUUGUUACUUGAUUGUGGUUGAUUUUGUUGAUUGACCAUCAGCCAUUUUGCACUGAUUGAUUGACCAAAAAGCAAGGUUAUGUUAAUAAAAAGGUUUUUUGUUUACCUGUAGCUAUGUUGCACCUUUUUUCGGAGAGGAGGCAGGCUCAGGUUUUGGUUUACGUCGGGGGGUGGGGGGUAAAAAAGUUUGUCACCUUUUUCAGACCUUCUGAGUUUGCAGGUAUGUGUUUUGAUGUAAAGAGUAACCGAGGCUGUUUGCGAUAUACAGUACCAGUCAGAAGUUUGGACACCCCUACUCAUUCAUAGGUUUUGCUGUAUUUUGACUAUUUUCUACAUUGUAGAACGAUGCUGAAGACAUCAAAACUAUGAAAUAACAUAUGGAACAUGUAUGGAAUUAUGCAGUAAACAAGUGUUAAAAACAAAACAAUGUUUCAUAUUUUACAUUCUUCAAAGUCACUGCUGUUUAUCUUGACGCUUUGCACACUAUUGGCAUUAUCUUUUUUUUUUUUUUUUUUAAGAUUUUUUUGGGGGCUUUUUCCACCUUUAUUAGAUAGGACAGUGUAGAGACAGGAAAUAAGCGGGAGAGAGACGGGGAGGGAUCGUCCCCGGAUCCAUGGCACAGCGCCCCAUCCACCCGAGCCACGACGCCCCCACUAUUGGCAUUAUCUUAACCAGCUAAUUUUUUUUAUUUUAAACAAUAAAAUCAUUUGUACAAUGAACAGUAAUUGAUGAACCCCUAGUUUGUUUUCCUUGUACCAACACUUAGUCUGCUCUGUCAAAUUGUAUUGCAGGGAAAAAGUAGUAAGUUUUCAUAUUCAGUCAUCAUUUGAACUGAGACUGGCUCUAACCUCUUUUUCAUGUGUUAUGGCAUUUUUCUGUUCAGGUGGUCCGGACGGUGGUGUUGGUCUUACACAGACAGUGGCUGUGUAUCAAAGGUCAGGAGAAGCACGUAGGUGGUAUUCAGACAUGGACGGGUC